GUACCUCGGUGAUGUGACUGUACUGCCUGGGCCCUGCCCACGGUAGGUAUUGUGACAUACCUCUGAACUCGUUGCCUAGGUGAUGUGACUUUUUUCUUUUGCCUGCAUUCUGCCCCUUGAAAAUGGACUGUGACAUACCACAGGCCCAAGUACUUAGAUGAUAUGAUUCUCCUCUUCUGCCUGGGUCAUGGCAACAGGAGGAUGAAUUAUUUUAGCAAGCCCAGAUUACAGGACUGUGAGCCCUAGGAGCAGCAAAAGUCACAUCAACUAGGUGCUGGGUCCAGUAAUAUGUCACCAUAUCCCUUGACAAGACAGCACAGGUAAGACAGUCACGUCAACUAGGUGAGAGUGAGAACCUGGAUAAUAGAGGAGUGACAUCAGCUUGGUGCUGGGCCCAGUGAAAUGUCAUGUUGGGUAUAAGUACAUGAGUCAUGAUCUCAAUGGUGUACUGGAUCCAUGCAUGACAGCAUCAAUCUGUCCUGUGGACUGUCUUCUUAGUAGAGUGACAGCCUCACAGGUUUGCUGAAUGUUGGUUGGAGAGUCAGAAACCCAAAUGUGAAUGAAAUCUGCAUAUAGAGUCAAUUCACUAUUUUUGACUGGCUUUGGGUGUGAGAUUCAGAACCUCAAGAGUGGGCUGUGUUCAGGUGGGAUGAUGACAGUCUAUACUGUUGGCUGGGUGUGCAUAUCACUGUCACAAUCUCAGCUGUGUGCAGUGCUCAGGCACAAAAGAAGAGUCAAAUCACCUAGAUGAAUAAUUAAGAUAUUUUAUUCUCUUUUAUUAGUCUUUUCUAAUACUUCUAUGGGCAAAGCCAAUGCAGGAGAGUUGCAUCCCCUAUGUUUUGGACACAGCCAUAUGUCACAAUACACAAUGUAUGCAGGGCCCAGGCAGUAGAGGGAAGUCAAAUAACCUAGGUGCUGGACCCAGUGGUAUAUCACAAUACCUCCUUGGACAGAGCCCAAGCAGUAGAAGAGAGUCACAUCACCUCAGUGCUGUGUGCAAAAAUGUGUCACAAUACCAACUGAGUGGACGGCUCACUCAUGAGAGUCACACCACCUAGGGGAGGGUCUCAAAAAUACGUUGCAAUGCCCCCUGUGGGUAGGGCUCAGAUGGAAAAGAGGAGUCACAUAAAUUAGGGGCUUCAUGUCACAAUCACUCCAGUUGAAAGAGAUAAGGCACAAGAGAAGUGAUGCAUCACAUAGAUGCUGGGCCCAGCAAUAUGUCACAUUCCUCACAUGGACGGGCCCUAUGAAGAAAAGAAGAGUCACAUCAUCCAGGUGAUGGGCCCAGAGAUAGGUCUCCAUGACCCCUGUCACCUGUGUGCUGGGCCCAGUCAUAAGUAACUUCCUUCUGUGGGCAUGGUCAGGUAAGAGAGGAGAGUCAUAUCACCUAGACGCUGGUCCUAGAGAUAUGCCACAAUCUAUUCUAUGGGCACAGUUCAGUUUCAGAUAUGACAGUCAACACAUCCUGAAUGUUGGGUCCAACUACAUGAGGCACGUCUCAUCAGUGAACCAGAUCUAUGCGUCAUAGCCUCAAUUCCUAUUGCAUGUUGUGUUGACUUAAUGGAGUCCCAGUUUUCUUGGUGUGCUGAAUCCUGGUCUGAGAGUCACCAACCCACCUGUGGACCACAUUUAUGUAUAAGAGCCUUUUUUAAAAAAAAUCUUCUGACUGCCUCUGGUUGUUAGAUUUAGA
rnacentral:lncRNA from 1 species